rnacentral:rRNA from 1 species
UGAGCAAUCUGCCCUUCUCUUUGGAAUAAGCGUUGGAAACGACGUCUAAUGCCGAAUACGACCUCCUUUCGCAUGAUCGGAGGUGGAAAGCUCCGGCGGAGAAGGAUGAGCUCGCGGCCUAUCAGCUAGUUGGUGUGGGUAACGCCCACCAAGGCGACGACGGGUAGCCGGCCUGAGAGGGUGACCGGCCACACUGGGACUGAGACACGGCCCAGACCUCCUACGGGAGGNAGCG